rnacentral:lncRNA from 1 species
AAAUUGCUAUUAACAAAAUGGAGUACUAUCAAAGAUGCACAAGAACACAAUUGUGUAAAAUGUAACAACCUACAUAUUCACUGAUGGAUUAUGGAGAAAUUAAGAAAAAAAUAGUAUCUUUGUCAUGUUUGUUGUCGAAAUAAACAACUGCUUUAUCCAUUCAUGUACAUGGCUCCAUCAUAUCAAAUAUACAGAGAAGAUGUUUGAAGAACAAGUUGCCAAAAUUUAUUCAACCAAUUGAAGGAAGAUGUCUUGUGGAUGGAAUUAUUUAUGCACUGAACUGUUAUGUAGGGGGUCGAAUAAUUGUACACAGCAGCUGAAACAGAAGACAAGUUAAUUUAACAUGAAAAGUGUUUAUUUUAUUUAAUAUGCAAAUAUGAGCACAAUAUUAAUAACAUCACAAAUGGUAUGAUAUUCAUAGCGUUUUGCUUAUUAUUGUAUUGUCUUAAACAUGCUAAACAGUCAGCCUUUUGUUUUUGUAUGUUUAAUACUCACCAUGAAAAUUUGUAUUAAAGUUUUAAUUAUCUUUUGUAUCAAUAAUUCAGUCUAGGAAAAAUUAUAUUUAUACUGUCAUGAAAUUUCCAUAGAGGAAAAAUAGGG